rnacentral:tRNA from 1 species
GCCCAGGUGCUGGAGUUGUCCGGCGUCGCUGCUGCCGACGCUGCCAAGCAGGCCGAGGACGUGGUCAAGUUCGAAACCCGCCUGGCCA